GAUGAACGCUGGCGGCGUGCCUAAUACAUGCAAGUCGAGCGAACGGACGAGAAGCUUGCUUCUCUUAUGUUAGCGGCGGACGGGUGAGUAACACGUGGAUAACCUACCUAUAAGACUGGGAUAACUUCGGGAAACCGUAGCUAAUACCGGAUAAUAUUUUGAACCGCAUGGUUCAAAAUUGAAAGACGGUCUUGCUGUCCCUUAUAGAUGGAUCCGCGCUGCAUUAGCUAGUUGGUAAGGUAACGGCUUACCAAGGCAACGAUGCAUAGCCGACCUGAGAGGGUGAUCGGCCAAACUGGAACUGAGACACGGUCCAGACUCCUACGGGAGGCAGCAGUAGGGAAUCUUCCGCAAUGGGCGAAAGCCUGACGGAGCAACGCCGCGUGAGUGAUGAAGGUCUUCGGAUCGUAAAACUCUGUUAUUAGGGAAGAACAUAGGUGUAAGUAACUGUGCACAUCGUGACGGUACCUAAUCAGAAAGCCACGGCUAACUACGUG
rnacentral:rRNA from 1 species